rnacentral:ncRNA from 1 species
GUGUUGUAUGAAAGGAAAGAAGGUUAGCACUCCCCUUGACAAGGAUGGAAGAGGCCCUUGGGCCUUAUAACACGCAUACAGUUAAGCUUUGCCACCUACUUUGUGGCAUCUAACCACUGUUUUUA